CCUACCAAGACUUUGAUCAAUAGCUGAUUUGAGAGGAUGAUCAGCCACAUUGGGACUGAGACACGGCCCAAACUCCUACGGGAGGCAGCAGUGGGGAAUCUUGCACAAUGGAGGAAACUCUGAUGCAGCGAUGCCGCGUGAGUGAAGAAGGCCCUUGGGUUGUAAAGCUCUUUCGUCGGGGAAGAAAAUGACUGUACCCGAAUAAGAAGGUCCGGCUAACUUCGUGCCAGCAGCCGCGGUAAUACGAAGGGACCUAGCGUAGUUCGGAAUUACUGGGCUUAAAGAGUUCGUAGGUGGUUGAAAUAGUUGGUGGUGAAAUCCCAGAGCUUAACUCUGGAACUGCCAUCAAAACUUUUCAGCUAGAGUAUGAUAGAGGAAAGCAGAAUUUCUAGUGUAGAGGUGAAAUUCGUAGAUAUUAGAAAGAAUACCAAUUGCGAAGGCAGCUUUCUGGAUCAUUACUGACGCUGAGGAACGAAAGCAUGGGUAGCGAAGAGGAUUAGAUACCCUCGUAGUCCAUGCCGUAAACGAUGUGUGUUAGACGUUGGAAAUUUAUUUUCAGUGUCGCAGCGAAAGCGAUAAACACACCGCCUGGGGAGUACGACCGCAAGGUUAAAACUCAAAUGAAUUGACGGGGACCCGCACAAGUAGUGGAGCAUGUGGUUUAAUUCGAAGAUACGCGCAGAACCUUACCAACACUUGACAUGUUCGUCGCGACUCUAAGAGAUUAGAGUUUUCGGUUCGGCCGGACGAAACACAGGUGCUGCAUGGCUGUCGUCAGCUCGUGUCGUGAGAUGUUGGGUUAAGUCCCGCAACGAGCGCAACCCUCACUUUUAGUUGCCAUCAUUAAGUUGGGCACUCUGAAAGAACUGCCAGUGAUAAGCUGGAGGAAGGUGGGGAUGACGUCAAGUCCUCAUGGCCCUUACGUGUUGGGCUACACACGUGCUACAAUGGUAUCUACAACAGGAAGCAAGACGGCGACGUCAAGCAAAUCCUUAAAAGAUACCUCAGUUCGGAUUGCACUCUGCAACUCGAGUGCAUGAAGCUGGAAUUACUAGUAAUCGUGGAUCAGCGUGCCACGGUGAAUGCGUUCCCGGGUCUUGUACACACCGCCCGUCACACCAUGGGAGUUGGUUCUACCUUAAGGCAAGGUUUUAAACCCUUGACCACGGUAUAGUCAGCGACUGGGGUGAAGUCGUAACAAGGUAGCCGUAGGGGAACCUGCGGCUG
rnacentral:rRNA from 1 species